GACGAACGCUGGCGGCGUGCCUAAUACAUGCAAGUAGAACGCUGAAGGAGGAGCUUGCUUCUCUGGAUGAGUUGCGAACGGGUGAGUAACGCGUAGGUAACCUGCCUUGUAGCGGGGGAUAACUAUUGGAAACGAUAGCUAAUACCGCAUAAGAGUAGAUGUUGCAUGACAUUUGCUUAAAAGGUGCAAUUGCAUCACUACCAGAUGGACCUGCGUUGUAUUAGCUAGUUGGUGAGGUAACGGCUCACCAAGGCAACGAUACAUAGCCGACCUGAGAGGGUGAUCGGCCACACUGGGACUGAGACACGGCCCAGACUCCUACGGGAGGCAGCAGUAGGGAAUCUUCGGCAAUGGACGGAAGUCUGACCGAGCAACGCCGCGGGAGUGAAGAAGGUUUUCGGGUCGUAAAGCUCUGUUGUAAGAGAAGAACGAGUGUGAGAGUGAAAAGUUCACACUGUGACGGUAUCUUACCAGAAAGGGACGGCUAACUACGUG
rnacentral:rRNA from 1 species